rnacentral:rRNA from 1 species
CCUACGGGAGGCAGCAGUGGGGAAUUUUGGACAAUGGGCGAAAGCCUGAUCCAGCAAUGCCGCGUGAGUGAAGAAGGCCUUCGGGUUGUAAAGCUCUUUUGUCAGGGAAGAAACGGUGAGAGCUAAUAUCUUUUGCUAAUGACGGUACCUGAAGAAUAAGCACCGGCUAACUACGUGCCAGCAGCCGCGGUAAUACGUAGGGUGCAAGCGUUAAUCGGAAUUACUGGGCGUAAAGCGUGCGCAGGCGGUUUUGUAAGUCUGAUGUGAAAUCCCCGGGCUCAACCUGGGAAUUGCAUUGGAGACUGCAAGGCUAGAAUCUGGCAGAGGGGGGUAGAAUUCCACGUGUAGCAGUGAAAUGCGUAGAUAUGUGGAGGAACACCGAUGGCGAAGGCAGCCCCCUGGGUCAAGAUUGACGCUCAUGCACGAAAGCGUGGGGAGCAAACAGGAUUAGAUACCCUGGUAGUCCACGCCCUAAACGAUGUCUACUAGUUGUCGGGUCUUAAUUGACUUGGUAACGCAGCUAACGCGUGAAGUAGACCGCCUGGGGAGUACGGUCGCAAGAUUAAAACUCAAAAUGAAAUUGACCGGNNGAGAGNGCGAGACGACACGAGGGAGGAG